AGACCCGAAACCCGGUGAUCUAGCCAUGGGCAGGUUGAAGGUUGGGUAACACUAACUGGAGGACCGAACCGACUAAUGUUGAAAAAUUAGCGGAUGACCUGUGGCUGGGGGUGAAAGGCCAAUCAAACCGGGAGAUAGCUGGUUCUCCCCGAAAGCUAUUUAGGUAGCGCCUCGUGAAUUCAUCUCCGGGGGUAGAGCACUGUUUCGGCUAGGGGGCCAUCCCGGCUUACCAACCCGAUGCAAACUGCGAAUACCGGAGAAUGUUAUCACGGGAGACACACGGCGGGUGCUAACGUCCGUCGUGAAGAGGGAAACAACCCAGACCGCCAGCUAAGGUCCCAAAGUCAUGGUUAAGUGGGAAACGAUGUGGGAAGGCCCAGACAGCCAGGAUGUUGGCUUAGAAGCAGCCAUCAUUUAAAGAAAGCGUAAUAGCUCACUGGUCGAGUCGGCCUGCGCGGAAGAUGUAACGGGGCUAAACCAUGCACCGAAGCUGCGGCAGCGACACUGUGUGUUGUUGGGUAGGGGAGCGUUCUGUAAGCCUGCGAAGGUGGCCUGUGAGGGUUGCUGGAGGUAUCAGAAGUGCGAAUGCUGACAUAAGUAACGAUAAAGCGGGUGAAAAGCCCGCUCGCCGGAAGACCAAGGGUUCCUGUCCAACGUUAAUCGGGGCAGGGUGAGUCGACCCCUAAGGCGAGGCCGAAAGGCGUAGUCGAUGGGAAACGGGUUAAUAUUCCCGUACUUGGUGUUACUGCGAAGGGGGGACGGAGAAGGCUAUGUUGGCCGGGCGACGGUUGUCCCGGUUUAAGCGUGUAGGUGUGUGUUCCAGGUAAAUCCGGUUCACUUUAACACUGAGGCGUGAUGACGAGGCACUACGGUGCUGAAGCAACAAAUGCCCUGCUUCCAGGAAAAGCCUCUAAGCAUCAGGUAACAUCAAAUCGUACCCCAAACCGACACAGGUGGUCAGGUAGAGAAUACCAAGGCGCUUGAGAGAACUCGGGUGAAGGAACUAGGCAAAAUGGUGCCGUAACUUCGGGAGAAGGCACGCUGACAC
rnacentral:rRNA from 1 species